AUUGAACGCUGGCGGCAGGCCUAACACAUGCAAGUCGAGCGGAUGAAGGGAGCUUGCUCCUGGAUUCAGCGGCGGACGGGUGAGUAAUGCCUAGGAAUCUGCCUGGUAGUGGGGGAUAACGUCCGGAAACGGGCGCUAAUACCGCAUACGUCCUGAGGGAGGAAGUGGGGGAUCUUCGGACCUCACGCUAUCAGAUGAGCCUAGGUCGGAUUAGCUAGUUGGUGGGGUAAAGGCCUACCAAGGCGACGAUCCGUAACUGGUCUGAGAGGAUGAUCAGUCACACUGGAACUGAGACACGGUCCAGACUCCUACGGGAGGCAGCAGUGGGGAAUAUUGGACAAUGGGCGAAAGCCUGAUCCAGCCAUGCCGCGUGUGUGAAGAAGGUCUUCGGAUUGUAAAGCACUUUAAGUUGGGAGGAAGGGCAGUAAGUUAACACCUUGCUGUUUUGACGUUACCAACAGAAUAAGCACCGGCUAACUUCGUG
rnacentral:rRNA from 1 species